UUGACCUCGGAUCAGGUAGGAAUACCCGCUGAACUUAAGCAUAUCAAUAAGGCGGAGGAAUGUCUUAUUACCGA
rnacentral:rRNA from 1 species